ACGCCUACCUCAGCAGCCUAGACACUAACAUCGCAACAGUACAGAGAAGAUUGGCAGGGCCCCUGCACAAGAUGACACGCAAAUUUAUGAAGCGUUCCAUAUUUAA